rnacentral:rRNA from 1 species
AUUGAACGCUGGCGGCAUGCCUUACACAUGCAAGUCGAACGGCAGCGGACCUUCGGGUGCCGGCGAGUGGCGAACGGGUGAGUAAUAUAUCGGAACGUACCUUUCAGUGGGGGAUAACGUAGCGAAAGUUACGCUAAUACCGCAUAUUCUGUGAGCAGGAAAGCAGGGGAUCGCAAGACCUUGCGCUGAUUGAGCGGCCGAUAUCAGAUUAGCUAGUUGGUGAGGUAAAGGCUCACCAAGGCGACGAUCUGUAGCGGGUCUGAGAGGAUGAUCCGCCACACUGGAACUGAGACACGGUCCAGACUCCUACGGGAGGCAGCAGUGGGGAAUUUUGGACAAUGGGCGCAAGCCUGAUCCAGCCAUGCCGCGUGCGGGACGAAGGCCUC